AUUGAACGCUGGCGGCAGGCCUAACACAUGCGAGUCGAGCGGCAGCGGGAAAGUAGCUUGCUACUUUUGCCGGCGAGCGGCGGACGGGUGAGUAGUGCCUGGGGAUCUGCCCAGUCGAGGGGGAUAACUACUGGAAACGGUAGCUAAUACCGCAUACGCCCUACGGGGGACAGCAGGGGACCUUCGGGCCUUGCGCGAUUGGAUGAACACGGGUGGGAUUAGCUAGUUGGUGAGGUAAUGGCUCACCAAGGCGACGAUCCCUAGCUGGUCUGCGGGGAUUAUCCGCCACACUGGAACUGAGACACGGUCCAGACUCCUACGGGAGGGAGCAGUGGGGAAUAUUGCACAAUGGGGCAAACCCUGAUGCAGCCAUGCCGCGUGUGUGAAGGAGGCCUUCGGGUUGUAAAGCACUUUCAGCGAGGAGGAAAGGUUGGUAGCUAAUAACUGCCAGCUGUGACGUUACUCGCAGAAGAGGCACCGGCUAACUCCGUGCCAGCCGCCGCCGUAAAAC
rnacentral:rRNA from 1 species